ensembl:lncRNA
AUUUCUCGAACCUCCAUCUGGAUUUAUCCAACCUCAACCUUCUUCAGAAACAUCAGGUCAAGCUAGAAAGAAUUGAGUUGCAUAAGAACUGAUGUGAUGUAUAAAAACUCAGCCACAGUGGAGCGAAGGUAUAAGUACUGACCUGGGAACAUAGGUGGAGGUUCUGUUGACGGAGUGCCCUGGACCAUCACUCUAUUUUAUUCCACAGAUUGGCCAGUUCCUGAAAGACCCAAGGUCAUGUGAAGGUGGAGGUACAUCAAUAGCAAUGUCAUUCCCUGCCUGCAGCAUCAAUACGCAGUGGCUGACAAAGUGACAGCGAUUUCUUAACCACUAUGGCCUACAUAACUACUGAUAUCAUUGAACCAUGAUUCGGACUGCAAUGAAGAUGGUGAAAAAGCAAAGCAUUACGUUUCAAAGUCUUGAGGGAGUUCCCACAUAUGAUGAGCACUUGGCUGCUUUUCUUCACGCUGCGG